GGCCCAGCUUAUGCUAACAUUUCUACCUCCCCACUGGGCAGGAAUCGGGCGCCUGAUUGCUGAGUGUCAUCUCAACCCCAUCAUCCUGCCCCUGUGGCAUGUCGGAAUGAAUGACGUCCUUCCUAACAGUCCGCCCUACUUCCCCCGCUUUGGACAGAAAAUCACCGUGCUGAUCGGGAAGCCCUUCAGUGCCCUGCCUGUACUCGAGCGGCUCCGGGCGGAGAACAAGUCGGCUGUGGAGAUGCGGAAAGCCCUGACGGACUUCAUUCAAGAGGAAUUCCAGCAUCUGAAGACUCAGGCAGAGCAGCUCCACAACCACCUCCAGCCUGGGAGAUAGGCCUUGCUUGCUGCCUUCUGGAUUCUUGGCCUGCACAGAGCUGGGGCUGAGGGAUGGACUGAUGCUUUUAGCUCAAACGUGGCUUUUAGACAGAUUUGUUCAUAGACCCUCUCAAGUGCCCUCUCCGAGCUGAUGUUCUCUCCCAGGGGCUGGCUUCAGGAGGGAGCAUAGAAGGCAGGUGAGCAACCAGUUGGCUAGGG
rnacentral:sRNA from 1 species